AACGCACAUUGCGCCCGGUGGUAUUCCGCCGGGCAUGCCUGUUCGAGCGUCAUUUAAACCAAUCCAGCUUGCUGGGUCUUGGGCCUUUCGCCUCUGGGCGGGCCCCAAAAUCAGUGGCGGUGCUAUCUAGCUCUAAGCGUAGUAAUUUUUCUCGCUAUGGAUACUAGGUGGUUACCUGCCAGUAACCCUUAUUUUUCAAAGGUUGACCUCGGAUCAGGUAGGGAUACCCGCUGAACUUAA
rnacentral:misc_RNA from 1 species